CAGGGGAGCGCAGGUAAAAACGUUCGUCUGUAAGAGCCCUAAACAUUACUAAAGUCUGUCACAGAGUAACAGACAUUCAUUUCUGCAAUUCUUUGAUGCUGCUGAGAAAAAGAAUUAACUAAUGUAUUAUUUUAACAGUUUAGAAAGUCAGAGAUCACAGCUGAAGUGAGAGGGAGGAUAAUUAAUCUUAGGGGUCAGUUUAUAAAUAGUCAAGAUUGGGAAUUCAUAAUGAGCGCCAGUUUAUCAAGUGUUCCCAAGACUUGCAAAUGAAGAUAUACAUUUUUUACGAACAUUUUACGAUUUGGAUAUUAAGGUUUUUAUCCGAAUUUUCUGAAAACUUGAAUUUUCGAUUCCAACAUUUGCUUCCUGACUCCUCAAAUGGUUGGGAAAUAUAACAUCAUCAAACGGACAAACACCACUGGUAUCUUUACGAAUCUCGGGCACAUUUUUGGCUAUUCGGCUCCAGUGGGUUUUCCCAGUGACUGCAGGAGAGACGGCAUUGCGUAAAGGAGGACAAGCAAUUGAUGCGCCACCUUGCUUGAUGUGAAUGUUUUCACCUUCAAUCUGAUAAUUUAACGUUCAAAUUUUGUCUAACAGAAGUGGUUCAUUAAGAGACAACCCCAAUGGCUUCCUCUGUACCCUAGGCCGUGAUGCUUGACUGUCUCCUUGUCCAUCCUAAAAUGAACAACUGAUGGCAACCUUGGCAUCCAUUCUUCAGUCAUAAUAAAAAUCAACAUGUUGCAGACAGUGGCAUAACAUAUCUUCAUCUGGAACCUUAACCACUCUCUCAUGGGAUGAGCUCUCCCCCAUGUGCAUGUGCUCGCUAGGAGACUGGAAAAAGGGAUUCAAAUUGCACUGUACAGCAGACCCAGUGACAUUAGGCCCUUUACUCCCUGUGCCCCCGCUGUAUGAUAGUUAAACCACUGGACUUUAUUUAAUGCUACACUAAAAGAAAUGGAAGUAAAUUAUUGGUAAUGGAAUUUUGAGGAUUAUAAUGAGAUAUGUCCACAUAUUUUUUAAAAAAUCUGUUUCCUUAAUAUCUUUGAAGAUGUCUGUCCAAAUAAACUAUACUGUAUGUAAACUUA